rnacentral:tRNA from 1 species
AGGAAAGUAGCUCAGUGGGUAGAGCAUCUGGCCACGAACCAGACGGUCGAGGGUUCAACUCCCUCCUUUUCAC